rnacentral:tRNA from 3 species
GCGCCGUUAGCUCAAUGGCAGAGCAGCUGGCUCUUAACCAGCGGGUUCGGGGUUCGAGUCCCUGACGGCGCACCG